rnacentral:rRNA from 1 species
GACGAACGCUGGCGGCGUGCUUAACACAUGCAAGUCGAACGGUAAGGCCCUUCGGGGUACACGAGUGGCGAACGGGUGAGUAACACGUGGGUGAUCUGCCCUGCACUUCGGGAUAAGCCUGGGAAACUGGGUCUAAUACCGGAUAGGACUCCGGACUGCAUGGUCUGGGGUGGAAAGCUUUUGCGGUGUGGGAUGGGCCCGCGGCCUAUCAGCUUGUUGGUGGGGUGAUGGCCUACCAAGGCGACGACGGGUAGCCGGCCUGAGAGGGUGACCGGCCACACUGGGACUGAGGUACGGCCCAGACUCCUACGGGAGGCAGCAGUGGGGAAUAUUGCACAAUGGGCGCAAGCCUGAUGCAGCGACGCCGCGUGAGGGAUGACGGCCUUCGGGUUGUAAACCUCUUUCAGCAUCGACGAAGCGAAAGUGACGGUACCUGCAGAAGAAGGACCGGCCAACUACGUGCCAGCAGCCGCCGUAA